rnacentral:rRNA from 1 species
AUUGAACGCUGGCGGCAUGCCUUACACAUGCAAGUCGAACGGCAGCACGGGAGCAAUCCUGGUGGCGAGUGGCGAACGGGUGAGUAAUAUAUCGGAACGUGCCCAGUAGUGGGGGAUAACUGCUCGAAAGAGCAGCUAAUACCGCAUACGACCUGAGAGUGAAAGGGGGGGAUCGCAAGACCUCUCGCUAUUGGAGCGGCCGAUAUCAGAUUAGCUAGUUGGUGGGGUAAAGGCCUACCAAGGCAACGAUCAGUAGCUGGUCUGAGAGGACGACCAGCCACACUGGAACUGAGACACGGCCCAGACUCCUACGGGAGGCAGCAGUGGGGAAUUUUGGACAAUGGGCGCAAGCCUGAUCCAGCCAUGCCGCGUGUCUGAAGAAGGCCUUCGGGUUGUAAAGGACUUUUGUCCGGGAGCAAAUACCCAGUGCUAAUAACGCUGGGGGCUGAGAGUACCGGAAGAAUAAGCACCGGCUAACUACGUGCCAGCCGCCGCCGUAAUAC